AAAAGCGGGAGGGGAGGGGGAAGAGGUUAGAAGAGAGCAGAGGCAGAGAAGCAGGUACAGUGCCCUCUGCCCUUCACUGGGGCUCGAGGAGGCCGCCUGCGCGGGCAGCUCCAGGCUCAUCCCUGUGGAGGCUGCCCACGGGGGCUGGUGUCGUGCCCAGAAUAAACCAGAUGAUGCCCUGGACAUUUAGUUUACAAUCAAGGCAGCACACGGGCCCCCAGUAGAGUCAGUGGGUCAGGGUGUGGUUCUCUGCCCAGAAAAGCAAAUUGCAAAAAACCCUGGUAUGGUUUGGGCCCGUUCUGUAAAAUGAAUAACAUAAAAUAGUAUUCACUUAGGCAAAAAGUCUGGAGAAAAAUCCCACAAACUCAGGGGUGGUCAUCUCUGGAGGGCUCAGGUUAGAGGAAUUUUUGACUUCCUGUGUUCUGUAUAUUCCUACAAUGUUUAAAUGUUUAACGAUGCACAUGUAAUGCUUUGGUAACCAGAGCGACCGACAAAGAAAUGUUUUUAAAGAGAGGGGGUAUCCGGACCCUCCACCUGUUAUCCUCUCCAGGCUUCCCAAACAACCAACACGUGCCAGCAGCCCCACACCCUGUGUUACCAGGAAGUGUUUAUGCCUCAGAAGGAUUUUGUCCUGAGUGUGCAUGAUUAAUUAUUAAAGAGAUGUUGUCAAUCCCGUCAGAUAAGUUCAGUGUUUUGUGUGAGGAUUGAAGUGCUAAGGCCUUCGUCUCCUGACUUUGUGCACUGUUGCCUAGGUGUUAGUUUAAAAAAAAUAUAUGCAACGAGGCGAAAUUGUGUGAUUUUGUUGUUUUCACGAGUGUCUCGAUGCUGAGACCUGAAAUGCCUUUACUAUUUGCGACAGCUACAGUGCUUUCCUGAUCUUCAAGCUCAGGAAAAUAGGUCACUGUUAUAAGUACUGAUUCGGUGAGAAAGAGAGGCUGGGUGAGAUGCAAAAUCAAAGAGAAAAAUGCACGAUCCGAACAACUGAGCUGCACUGAUGACAGGCGGAAAAGGAGGCCACAGGAGGGGAUGCCGAGGAGUGAGAGCAAUCGAGGCGACAUCCCAGCAGAGAGAGGUUGAAGUCCCCGCCCAGCCGUGGCUGUAGGCUCCGGAGAGGGUGCUGAUCGGAGCUGGGAGGGAGGCCCAACCUAUUCCAACUCUGGACUCUGCCCAGGCAUUUCCACUGAAAGGAGAAGAUGAGCUGAAAGUCGAGAAGGUUGGACCCAGCUUGUCCCCAGGGAAACGCACACCUCCAUCUGUCCCUGAGAGUGACUUAUUCACCACAAAUAUAAAGGUCUGACUCAUGGAGGACAAUGCAUCAAGACGAAGAGAGUCCAUUUCUCUCAGAUCCAUGGCCAAUGGUCUGGAGAACGCAGGGGCCGAGUUCUUGGAAAACCUGGAGGAAGGCUGGACCCCUGGCAGUGACUGGAGUCCUGCAGUGGAUGGAAGGAGCGAGGCCGGUCCGGAGCCCUCUGCAGGAUGGAGGAUCCUGCAGCCGGCCCUGGGAGUGAGACGCUUCUGCAGGGAGCACGUGCGGCUGUGGAGGUGGAUCUGCAUAGGCCUGCUCUGUACUGCAUUCGCUGCCUUCCUGCUGAUUGCCUGUCUCCUGGAUUUCCAGAGGGCCCUGGCACUGUUUGUCCUCACCUGUGUGGUCCUUGUCUUCCUGGCCCACAGCCUGCUAAAGAGGCUGCUGGGGCCGAAGCUGUGGAGGCGUGUCGAGCCUCUGGGGCAUUCCCGCCUGAACCUCUGGCUUAAGAGGGGUCUAGCCCUCGCUGCUUUCCUGGGCCUGGUCCUGUGGCUGGCUCUGGACACCUCCCGGCGGCCGGAGCAGCUGGUGUCCUUUGCAGGAAUCUGUGUGUUCAUCGGCCUCCUCUUCGCCUGCUCCAAGCAUCACCGUGCAGUGUCCUGGCGGGCCGUGUCCUGGGGCCUUGGGCUACAAUUCAUACUAGGACUCUUCGUCAUUAGAACAGAACCAGGAUUUACUGCGUUCCAGUGGCUGGGCGACCAGAUCCAGAUCUUCCUGCGCUACACCGAGGCCGGCUCCAGCUUCGUGUUUGGGGACACUCUCGUCAAGGAUGUCUUCGCCUUUCAGGUCCUGCCCAUCAUCGUCUUCUUCAGCUGCAUCAUGUCAGUUCUCUACUACGUGGGCCUCAUGCAGUGGGUGAUCCUGAAGAUCGCCUGGCUGAUGCAGGUCACCAUGGGCACCACGGCCACCGAGACCCUGAGUGUGGCUGGAAACAUCUUUGUGAGCCAGACUGAGGCUCCUCUACUGAUCCGGCCCUACCUGGCAGACAUGACACUCUCAGAAAUCCAUGUUGUCAUGACUGGAGGCUACGCCACCAUCGCCGGCAGCCUACUGGGCGCCUACAUCUCCUUUGGGAUUGACGCUGCCUCCUUGAUUGCCGCCUCCGUGAUGGCCGCCCCUUGUGCUUUAGCCCUGUCCAAGCUGGUCUACCCCGAGGUGGAGGAGUCCAAGUUUAGGAGUGAGGAAGGCGUGAAACUGACCUAUGGAGAAGCUCAGAACCUCUUAGAAGCAGCCAGCAGUGGGGCCGCCAUCUCGGUGAGGGUCAUCGCUAACAUCGCAGCCAACCUGAUCGCCUUCCUGGCCGUGCUGGCCUUCAUCAACGCCGCCCUCUCCUGGCUGGGAGACAUGGUGGACGUCCAGGGGCUCAGCUUCCAGCUCAUCUGCUCCUACAUCCUGCGGCCUGUGGCCUUCUUAAUGGGCGUGGCCUGGGAGGACUGCCCAGUGGUGGCUGAGCUGCUGGGAAUCAAGCUGUUCCUGAACGAGUUUGUGGCCUAUCAGGAGCUGUCCCGGUACAAGCAGCGCCGCCUGGCAGGGGCUGAAGAGUGGGUCGGCGCCAAGAAGCAGUGGAUCUCCGUCAGAGCGGAAAUCCUCACAACGUUCGCCCUCUGCGGAUUUGCCAACUUCAGCUCCAUUGGGAUCAUGCUGGGAGGCCUGACCUCCAUGGUCCCCCAAAGGAAGAGCGACUUCUCCCAGAUCGUGCUCCGGGCGCUCUGCACGGGCGCCUGCGUGUCCCUAGUGAAUGCCUGCGUGGCAGGGAUCCUCUACGUGCCCAGGGGGGCUGAGGUCAACUGCACGGCCCUCCUGAACACGAUCCUCAGCAGCAGCAGCUUUGAGGUGUACCAGUGCUGCCGUGAGGCCUUCCAGAGCACCAGCCCGGAGUUCAGCCCCGAGGCCUUGGACAACUGCUGUCGAUUUUACAACCACACGACGUGUGCAUAACGCAGACAGAACCAGAACUCUGUGCCUCCCCAGGAAGCAGCCGUCCCGCCUUUCCCUCUCCAGGCCUCUCCUCCCAGAAGCCACAGGGCUCCAACCUACCUCAGCCGCACAACUGGGGAGGGGGGAUGGGAGGGAUGGGCAAAGACUGAGCAGAUGUGUGAGUAGAUGAAGGCUGCCCCCCACCCCUCGCCCCUUCUGCUCCCCCAUGUCCUACCUCCCACAGUGUGGAUUCUCAGUGUCACCUCUGUCCCCUCCUCUCUCCCCUCCACAUCCAGACAGUACCCUGGUCUUCUCUAUGACCGGCCUUGGGUCUCAUUUGCACCCUUCCCUUCACCCCAGCAUUUCAGUUGCCUCCUUCUGGGUGGGCGCUCGAGUCCCCCAUGGUCACCCUGCCAGACAGGUGUUUUCUCCCAGCGGCCCCUCCUCCUACAUUCAGAGACUCCCCCACUGCCUUCCCCACAGCUCUUCCCAAAUCAGUGUCCAGUGGAACGCUGUCCCACAGGAGUUCAGCAAGGCGAGACAGAAAUUUAUUUUCUCGCAGUUCUGGAGGCUGGAAAUCCAAGAUCGGGGCGCCAGCAUGGUCAGUUUCUGGUGACAACUCUCUUCCUGGCUUUCAGAUGGCCACUUCACCGUGUCCUCCCUCACAAGGCAGAGAGAGAGAGCAAGUGGUCUGGUGUUUCUUCUUGUAAGGGCAUUAGUCCCAUCGUGGAGGCACCACCCUCACGACCUCAUCGCACCCUGCUCACCGCCCAAAGGCCCGUCUCCCGGUGCUCUCGCACUGGGGGUCAGCGCCUGUGCUCUUCAGGGAGAGGUCACACCGUGAGCUCAGCGGGACCGAUAAAUGGCCGCGGAGCCCACCAGUCCGUGCUUUGAAUAGCUUCGCCCUACCGCAUUUUCUGUUAAUGGAAAUUCGUCACAGAAUGUCUACUCAGAGGAUUUGUCCUGCAUUUCAAAUGCUCUAAGGGGAGCUGGAAAAAGCAGUAGGAAUUCUUGAAACCUUGCCUUUCGUGUGAGUGCAAAAUUGCACGGACAACAGCAGAAUUCCAAAUAAUUUAUGCAAACACUCCGUCCUCAAGGGGUGGAACAUGUCUCCCCCCGUUAGGUGUGGGCUGUGCUGUGUGGCCGCUUCCACAGAGCACAGUAUGCAGACGGGGGAGGUAAGAGGGUCCCUUUGCAGCAGGGAAACCUGGUACACAGAGGGAAACAAGUGACCAUGUUAACGCCGUCACUGAGACGUCCAGUCGAUGACACAGGCCCUCGAUGUGUUGUGUUGAGAAGGGCGCUUCCUCUCUGUGGUUUUGUUCCCCCGAAACCCAUAACCCCAGUCUAACCGUGAGCAAAAAAAGCAUCAGCCAAACUCGCAAAUUGAGAGACAGUCUGCGAAAUACCUGACCAGAACUCUUCAACACUGUCCGGGUCGUCAGAAGCAAAGAAAGUCAGAGAAACUGUCCCAGCCCCACGGAGCCUAAGGGGACAUGAGGACUAAACGUGACAUGAUGUUGUAAUGGGUUGAACUGUGUCCCCCAAAAGAUACUUCUGAGUCCUAAGCCCCGAUGCCUGUGGAUACGACCUUAUUUGGAAAUAGGGUCUCACAGCUGUAAUGAAGUCUCUCAAGAUGGGAUUAUCCCGGAUUUAGCGUGGGCUCCAAGUCCAGUUACUGGUGUCUUUAUAAGAGAAAGGAGAGGGAGAUUUGAGACACACGGGCACAGCGACGCACAAUGAAGGCCGAGAAAUGAUGGAGGCAGAGACUGGAGUGACCAGCUCCAGGACGUAGCCCCCGAUGGUGACAAGCGAGGCAGCACGUGGAGCCACCAGGAGUGGGAGAGGCAUGGAAGGGGCCUCCUUAGAGCCUUUUGGGGGAGCGUGCCCUGCUGGUUUCAGACUAGGGCCUCCGGAACUGUGCGAGAAUGAAUUUCUGUUGUUUUUAGCCACCGAAUCUGUGGUAAUUUGUUCCUGCAGCCCCAAGAAACCAGUACCAGUAUCUUGGAUGAGAUCCUGGAACAGAAAAAUGACAUAGGGAAAACCAAAUGAGGUCCAAAUAAAGUAUGGAGUUUAGUUAAUAACGUGUUAACAUCGGUUCAUUAGUUUCGAGAAUGUACCGUAGUGGUGUAAGAUGUUAACGAUAGAGGAAACUGGGUGAGGGGUAUAUGGGAACUCUGCAUUAUUUGUGCAGUCUAUUUGUAAAUACAAAACUAUUUUCAAAUUUAAAAGUUUAUUUAAAAAACUGCAUGGAAAAAAACCUGCGUUGACCCACAUGCAGUGUAACGUGAUUCAGCCCCUGGGGGGCUCUAUCCCGGAUGUGCGUGUCUCAGUGGGCAGCCCACCAAUGGGCUGCGUUUCCUCCCUUCCCACCCACUGCCUUUUCUCAUGGCCCUGCUCUCCCCUCUGCCAGCCCCUCACUUUGAUUCAAGCAUGUGCCUUCAGCUGAAUGUGAAUUAGUCCUGCCCUCUUUAAACCACAUGAAGAGCAGCAUCUGCUUGAAAUUACUUUUGACUCAGAAUUAGUGAGCCCUGAGUUUGGACAGGACCCUAAAUGUCAUUUUAAUGGUGUCUGCCCCUCCCGACUUUUCUGAGAAGUUUUACACCCCCGCAUGGAGGGGCUCUGACCCCAGGCUUUCACGAUUGAAUCACGGGACUCCACCCCCCGCCCCUCGCCCAUUGAACUAGGACUGAAUGCCUGACUCAGGGGAAGCCAAGUCCACAGUCUUGCCAAUGGCCUUUCAGACCCUCGAGAAAGGAUUUGAACUAAAAAACCCAGAAACGGAGAGCUGGGAGCUGAGUCACCACCGGGGGCUGGCUUGGAGCUGGUCUCUUUACCACCCUUCCUGCAGCCCAGUUGCUCAACUUUUCCUCAGAUUUGAUGACAGCUGAAUUCUUUCGAAAAAUCCCCUCUAACCUGAGCUCAGGGGAGAGAUUCCUCUUCCUUUGUAGUCGAAAGGAUACUGCCUGGGAUAGCCACUUCAUUAAAUCCCCCAUUCGGCCUGGAAUCAAGUGUCCAUCCACCAUUUGCUUGAAUACCAUCAAAACAAGAGUCUCACUCCCUCUUCUUGCAACUUCCUAAGAAGGUUCUUUUUGAUUUUGCAUCAGAAAGUGUUCCCCUGUCAUCCCAGCGUUGCCAUUCUGGGCUAUUCAGAACAAGUCCCAGCUGGUGUGUGUAUUUUUAUUGUUCUUUUUAAACUUACCAAAGUAAUGCUUGCUCAUUAUUUUUAAGAAGUCAAACCUUGAGCCAGCCCUGAUGGCCUAGUGGUGAAAGUUGGGUGCUCUCACAGCUUCAGUGGUCCCCAGUUCUUACUUCCUGGUCAAGGAACCACACCACCCAUCUGUCAGUUGCCAUGCUGUGGGGGUGGCUCACGUAGAAGAAAC